CCUACGGGUGGCAGCAGUGAGGAAUAUUGGUCAAUGGGCGCGAGCCUGAACCAGCCAAGUCGCGUGAGGGAUGAAGGUUCUAUGGAUCGUAAACCCCUUUUAUAAGGGAAUAACGUGAGGGACGUGUCCUAUUUUGUAUGUACCUUAUGAAUAAGGAUCGGCUAACUCCGUGCCAGCAGCCGCGGUAAUACGGAGGAUCCGAGCGUUAUCCGGAUUUAUUGGGUUUAAAGGGUGCGUAGGCGGGCUUUUAAGUCAGCGGUGAAAGUCUGUGGCUCAACCAUAGAAUGGCAGUUGAAACUGGGGGGCUUGAGUAUGUUUGAGGCAGGCGGAAUGCGUGGUGUAGCGGUGAAAGGCUUAGAUAUCACGCAGAACCCCGAUUGCGAAGGCAGCCUGCCAAGCCAUGACUGACGCUGAUGCACGAAAGCGUGGGGAUCAAACAGGAUUAGAUACCCCAGUAGUC
rnacentral:rRNA from 1 species